rnacentral:rRNA from 1 species
AGCAGCCGCGGUAAUUCCAGCUCCAAUAGCGUAUAUUAAAGUUGUUGCAGUUAAAAAGCUCGUAGUUGAAUUUCGGGAUCAAUACGUCGGUCGUGCUUCGGUACGUACUGGUGUCAUUGAUUUCUCCCUUCUGACGAACCAUGAUGUCAUUAACUUGGUGUCAUGGGAAAUCAGGACUGUUACUUUGAAAAAAUUGAGUGUUUAAAGCAGGCUCACGCUUGAAUACAUUAGCAUGGAAUAAUGAAAUAGGACGUUCGAUCCUAUUUUGUUGGUUUCUAGGAUUGACGUAAUGAUUAAUAGGGAUAGUUGGGGGCAUUAGUAUUCAAUUGUCAGAGGUGAAAUUCUUGGAUUUAUUGAAGACUAACUACUGCGAAAGCAUUUGCCAAGGAUGUUUUCAUUAAUCAAGAACGAAGUUA